UGGGGAAUAUUGGACAAUUGGCGAAAGCCUGAUCCAGCCAUGCCGCGUGUGUGAAGAAGGUCUUCGGAUUGUAAAGCACUUUAAGUUGGGAGGAAGGGCAGUAAGCGAAUACCUUGCUGUUUUGACGUUACCGACAGAAUAAGCACCGGCUAACUCUGUGCCAGCAGCCGCGGUAAUACAGAGGGUGCAAGCGUUAAUCGGAAUUACUGGGCGUAAAGCGCGCGUAGGUGGUUCGUUAAGUUGAAUGUGAAAGCCCCGGGCUCAACCUGGGAACUGCAUCCAAAACUGGCGAGCUAGAGUAGGGCAGAGGGUGGUGGAAUUUCCUGUGUAGCGGUGAAAUGCGUAGAUAUAGGAAGGAACACCAGUGGCGAAGGCGACCACCUGGGCUCAUACUGACACUGAGGUGCGAAAGCGUGGGGAGCAAACAGG
rnacentral:rRNA from 1 species